UACGCUGGUGACAAGGAGGUCAAGGUG
rnacentral:piRNA from 1 species